CUUUUGACUAUAACACAUUUAUAUGAAGACACGUUCAAAGGUAGACAUAUGAAGUAAUGGGACUUUGGGGUAGGAGAAAUUAAUGUGAAACCGUUGAAGAUCCAUAGAUGACCACGUGUGGUGUUAUUGACAGCAUGGACACGAUUAAGGCUGUUAGUUUUCAAGAACACGAUGUUGACACAGUGAAUUCUCAGAAAACAUAUCGCUUUCCUCGAAUUAUCCUUCACGACAGCCUGGGAAAUAAACUAGAUACAUACACAGCACUACAAGAAGCAAUUUAUAGAGAUAAAUGGAAUGUAAAACAGACACAGGAAGCCAGAAAUCCGAAUGAAUGGCGAUUACCAAAAGCGCCACCUCCAGCAAAACCCGAUUUAUCACGACGAGGUGUCCCCGUUUCUAGACCAACUCGACACAGAAAUUUUUAUUGUAAAGAUGAUCUAGAUAUAAGUUCACGAUAUAAGAAGGUGUGUAAAACAAGACUGUUUAACUUGAUGUUUGACAUUUGUAAAUGGAAAAAAGUAAAAGUGAUUACAACGCCCAAUGUUCACUCCUGGCAAUUUAUAACGAUAUGCGUAUAAUGCCAUGACCCUAGCUUCAGCCAUAGCGCUCGUAACAAUUCAAGGCACCGGGAUGACCGAGACUUGGCUAUCUUAAUAUUGAUAUAUCCCAAUUCUUUAAAGCGAUAAUUUCAAAUUUUCUAAGAAAGGUAUUGAUAAUUAUUAGUCUAUGUGUUGCAUAGAUUGUCAAACCACUA